AACCCAUGCAGGCCUCUUAGAGGAAGAGACCAGAAAUGAGCCGUCCCAGCUGAGGCCCUCUAGACCAGUUAGCACCCAGAUAAUCUUCCAGCUGCGUCCAGGUGCCUGAGUGACCCCAGAGCUCCCUGGGCGUGACAAGGCUGUGCCGCAUGUCACAUGUGUGUGAUCUCCUGAGCUCACACUCUUUGGAGCUUCACGUACAGGCUGAGCAGCCCAUUGGGUUGGAGAUACAAUGGAGGGACAGACUCCGCUUCUGUUGGUCCCCCUGCCUGGAGAGACCUUCCUUAGUUUGCCUACUCAUCCUUGAAGAUCCAGCACAAAUGCCACUUCCUGUGAAGCCUCUGGAGCCCUCUCAGGUGGGAUGUAUCUCCUUCCAUUCUUGUCUGUCCUUGUGCGAACCACUUCUCCUACCUAUUAGCACCCCUGGAAUUCCCAAGUUAUUGCCUUUUGCAUAUCCCCUGCAGUCAGCUGGGGCCAGAUCUUAUUCACCUGUGUGCGCUGGGCCCUCGCUCAUGGCUGGGCCCAGGCUGGUAAUGAAAGCUGAUUGAGAGAAUAAUAUUCUACACCUGCCAAUAGAAGGAGAUAGACAAAAGAGGCAGAGAGUGAGAACAUGCAGAGGUGGAGAGGGUGACAGGCACAGAGACAGGGAUGGGUAGAGCCCGGGAGAUGUGGAAGGAGCAG